rnacentral:piRNA from 1 species
UGAGCUGGAAACUCCUGCUCUGCUCAC